rnacentral:rRNA from 1 species
AUGUCCCCGCCGAGGCGCCUCGCCGUGCUCUGCUCCCACCUCCGCCCCGACGGCGCGGAGCCUCCAGCCGAGAAUGAGCGGCCGGCCGGGCAGAAAACGGUGAUAUCCACCUCUCCGUGCGGAGACGACGGCCGCGGCGCGGCGGCCGGUCGCGUGGGGGAUCGGGAGGCGGAGAGCUGCGUCUUCUGCCGGAUCAUACGCGACGAGGCGCCGGCGUUCAAGGUGCGUCGGGCCCUUCCUCCGUCUUCCCAUUUGUUGGUUGCUGCCGCCACCGCGCUCGCGAGUCCUCUCUGCUGCACGGUCGCCUCAAAGAGGGAUUACAUGGCAGCUUCGUUCAGACCUUCGCUUAUCCAAAUCCUCUACGAAGAUGAUGUAUGCGUUUGCAUAUUGGAUUCUCACCCAUUGGCUCUUGGGCAUUCGUUGAUAAUUCCAAAAUGCCAUUUUUCAUCUAUGGAGGUCACUCCACCUCAUGUCAUAGCAGCAAUGUGUUCCAAAGUACCUUUUCUGAGCAAUGCAAUUAUGAAGGCUACUGACUGCGAUGCAUUCAACUUGGUCGUCAAUAAUGGAGAAGCUGCAGGACAAGUUAUUUUCCAUACCCACUUCCACAUAAUUCCUCGUAGAUCUGGUGACAAGUUGUGGCCUACAGAGAGCUUUAGGAGGAGCUCUAUUGAGCCAAAUGAAACCUCGAGUCUUAUUAGCUGCAUCAAGAAGCAACUUGAUUCUUCAGAAGACUGA